UACGGGGGGGGGCAAGCGUUGUUCGGAAUUACUGGGCGUAAAGGGCUCGUAGGCGGCCAACUAAGUCGACGUGAAAUCCCUCGCUUAACCGGGGAACUGCGUCCGAUACUGCUAUGGCUCGAGUUUUGGUAGAGGCAGAUGGAAUUCCGGGUGUAGCGGUGGAAUGCGUAGAGAUCCGGAAGAACACCGGUGGCGAAGGCGGUCUGCUGGGGCCAAGACUGACGCUGAGGCGCGACAGCGUGGGGGGAGCAAAACAGG
rnacentral:rRNA from 1 species